rnacentral:rRNA from 1 species
UACGUAGGUGGCAAGCGUUGUCCGGAUUUACUGGGCGUAAAGGAUGCGUAGGCGGAUGUUUAAGUGAGAUGUGAAAUACCCGAGCUCAACUUGGGUGCUGCAUUUCAAACUGGAUAUCUAGAGUGCGGGAGAGGAAAGCGGAAUUCCUAGUGUAGCGGUGAAAUGCGUAGAGAUUAGGAAGAACACCAGUGGCGAAGGCGGCUUUCUGGACUGUAACUGACGCUGAGGCACGAAAGCGUGGGGAGCAAACAGG